GAAAGUUAACUGCAGACGUUACGGAAGUAGACAAGAACCAUCAGACACAUUUGAAUCACGUAGAAAUCGAUAUUCCGGCUGGUUUUCUGAGGAUUCUCUUCAGCGGGAUUUUCAUCCAUCUGCCACUUUGUGUUGAUGUCCAUCCACGUCCACAUCUCCAUCACACUGGGAUCAGCCAUCACCUCGGACCGUCUCGCCAGACAUUCAUUAUAAGAGGGCGGGAGGAAGAAUCUACCGUGACCCCCAGCUUCCACAGCGACCCAUCCAGCCGUGACCCCUCAAUGAAACACCGAGCUUCCUGGAAAACACUUGCUGUCUACUCUGGAAAUGAGAGCACAUUUAUCUUCUAGUCAGAGAUCUUCUCAGUUCAAAACAAAACAUAUUGAUGACACUUGUCCACGGAGCAGGACGCGACCUUCCAGGCCAGCCAAGGAGAUAAACAGAGACAAAAACUGAAGAGAUCGGAAAUGUGUCUCAUGUUUGUUCCCCAGAUUAAUAUGUGUGGCUUGUCACUUGAUGCUGCAUGUUUCAGAAGUUACAAACGUUGUAUAAGUAAGUAUAUCUUAGCUAAUGCCAUCAGUAUUUUUAGAUAUUCUUAGUGUUAAGUGUCGAUGUGGUGAUCAUAGAUCAGUAUUAUUUGCUUACAACAUUAGCUCCCUUCAAGAUAAGAAAAUGUGAUCACAAUCAGCUGGUUGUGACGUGACUGUUAGCUAGUUAUCACACUGAAAAUACUAUCAGCAGUGGUUAGUAGAGCACAAAGCAUCCCUAGUUGCAUAUUUAUCUAAAAUUCCCUGUAAAGCACAAUAUUUGAGCUUUGUUGAGGUCACGUUGAAAACCCACACUAAAUUAGAUAUUACCCGAUCAGCUGUGGCACCAUUAUGUGUUUUUAAAGACGAUCUGUCUGAUCAGCUGAAGCAGCAGGAUGGUCAUUCAGUGCAGUAAAAUGAUUUGGAAAUGCGGUCAUAGGAUUGUCCAAACUUUCUGGUUCUCUCUGUUGUUUUUCCCUGUUUGCCAUGCCCCGCCUUUCAGUCCAAACAAUAAUCCCAGCAGAUUAUAACAAAUGCUUGGAGUUAAAACCAUUUGCUUCAGCUCUGACUCAUAACUUUACAAAACAAGCCGAAUCUGCUGAUGAUGUAAUACACUUUUCUCCAUUUUACAUUGGAGGGACAAAAACAGACAAAUGUUUUCACAACUAAAAUCUAAUAUGUCUCUAAAAUUCCCAAUAUUCCUCCCAAACUCAUCUAUUGUUUGUUUACUUGACUCCUAAAAACUCAUAUCUGCAUAUUAAAGGUAGAUAUUUAGUAGCUUUUUUUCCAUAAACAUAAUCCUUUCCUGCCUUUAAAUGACUGAGAUAUAACUCUACAUCAUCGCUUCCUCUAGAAUGUGCAGCUCUACAUAAUUCUUGCCCUAAUACAUGUUUGAGCUGGAAACCUGGAAGCCGGUUCUGAAGAAGAUCAAGGAUACAGGAAGUCUCAGCUUGCAAGUGGACGGGAU